rnacentral:lncRNA from 1 species
GGCACUGCUUAAGUCCUAGAGGUGUUGUUUACUAUGUAUCGAGCAAGCAAAAUUCCUGCUCUCUCUGUGUGUGUGUGUGUGUGUGUGUGUGUGUGUGUGUGUGUGUUUGAGACAGGGUCUCACUCUGUCACCCAGGCUGAAGUACAGUGGCUCAAUCUCAGCUCAUUGCAACCUUCGCCUCCCAGGUUCAAGAGAUUCUUCUGCCUUAGCCUCCUGAGUAGCUGGGAUUACAGGACCCCACCACACCUGGCUAAUUUUUUGUAUUUUUGGUAGAGAUGGG